CUCCUCUUCCCGCCCAGCACGAUGUGCCUUUCUGAUCAACCAUCCAGGCUGUCUUGGGCUGGAAAUUUGUUUUACUCUGUCUUUUUGUGGGUUCUGUUGCUUUAGAAUUUGUUUAGAGCCAUUUUUUAUAGGUAUUUGAAGGGUUUGGGGGAGAGCUCAAGCUAGUCACUGCUUUCACUCUGCGAUCUUGGCUCCACCCCCUGUUUACUAGUUCUAAAUCCUAUGGUCCUUAUACUCCUAGAAUCAUCUCAAAGAGAUCUAUCUCUAACCUGUUCCUCCAGACUGACUGCCAACAAUUUGUCCUAACCCAUGCCCAGCCUGACUUUGACUGCUACCUUUUUCGUGGCCCAGACAUGCCACCUACUUUUCUGAUGAGAUUCUUAACAAAUUGCCAAGUCUGUGGUAGAGGAACCACUACCAUUGCCAAGAUGGCAAAGGACCUGCUAGUAGAAACUUGCCAUGGUACCUGUUUUCGGUACAUUCUAUAUGGGAUAGAUCCUCAUAAAUGCAGUGUAAACAAGAUCCAGUGUGCUCUGUGAAAAUGAAGUGCCUUCCUGUCUUGGGGACAACUCAGCCUACCCAGCUCUCUGGAGAAACAGAGCCAGAAAGCCCCAUCUUUGAAUUAUGGUACAGAGUACCUGCAGACUUAUUUUUAGGGUAUUCUCAAUGUGAACAGCCUUUUAGAUUCCAAGUGAAUACUGGAUUAAAAAUCUCUCACCCAUUAAAGGAUUAUAUUUUGUCUUUCUUUUUUUUAUCCCCGACGCUAGAUGAAGUGCCUGGCACACAGUGAGUGCUUAAUAAGUAUGACUGAAUGACUCUCAUGUUCAAUUGUUUAUAUAGGCACAUGAUAGGAAGAUGGCAUUAAGGAAGCAAAUGCCUAGUACCAUACACUUUAUCUUAUAUGAGGACCCAUGACUGACAUUCAGAUUGUACUUUCAGGUUUUCAAAGUGCUUACACCGAUGAAUCUCAG
rnacentral:lncRNA from 1 species